UGGGGAAUUUUGGACAAUGGGCGAAAGCCUGAUCCAGCAAUGCCGCGUGUGUGAAGAAGGCCUUCGGGUUGUAAAGCACUUUUGUCCGGAAAGAAAUCCUUGGCUCUAAUACAGUCGGGGGAUGACGGUACCGGAAGAAUAAGCACCGGCUAACUACGUGCCAGCAGCCGCGGUAAUACGUAGGGUGCAAGCGUUAAUCGGAAUUACUGGGCGUAAAGCGUGCGCAGGCGGUUUGCUAAGACCGAUGUGAAAUCCCCGGGCUCAACCUGGGAACUGCAUUGGUGACUGGCAGGCUAGAGUAUGGCAGAGGGGGGUAGAAUUCCACGUGUAGCAGUGAAAUGCGUAGAGAUGUGGAGGAAUACCGAUGGCGAAGGCAGCCCCCUGGGCCAAUNNUNGACGCUCAUGCACGAAAGCGUGGGGAGCAAACAGGAUUAGAUACCCUGGUAGUCCACGCCCUAAACGAUGUCAACUAGUUGUUGGGGAUUCAUUUCCUUAGUAACGUAGCUAACGCGUGAAGUUGACCGCCUGGGGAGUACGGUCGCAAGAUUAAAACUC
rnacentral:rRNA from 1 species